ACGGCUCAGUAACRCGUAGUCAAUCUACCCUAUGGACGGGAAUAACCUCGGGAAACUGAGAAUAAUGCCCGAUAGAACAUUAUGCCUGGAAUGGUUUAUGUUUCAAAUGAUUUAUCGCCAUAGGAUGGGACUGCGGCCUAUCAGUUUGUUGGUGAGGUAAUGGCCCACCAAGACUAUUACAGGUACGGGCUCUGAGAGGAGUGGCCCGGAGAUGGGUACUGAGACACGGACCCAGGCCCUAUGGGGCGCAGCAGGCGAGAAAACUUUGCAAUGUGCGAAAGCACGACAAGGUUAAUCCGAGUGGUUUCUGCUAAAGGAACCUUUUGUCAGUCCUAGAAACACUAACGAAUAAGGGGUGGGCAAGUUCUGGUGUCAGCCGCCGCGGUAAAACCAGCACCUCAAGUGGUCAGGAUGAUUAUUGGGCCUAAAGCAUCCGUAGCUCGUUUUGUAAGUUUUCGGUUAAAUCCAUGCGCUUAACGUAUGGGCUGCCGGGAAUACUGCAUAACUAGGAAGUGGGAGAGGUAGACGGUACUCGGUAGGAAGGGGUAAAAUCCUUUGAUCUAUUGAUGACCACCUGUGGCGAAGGCGGUCUACCAGAACACGUUCGACGGUGAGGGAUGAAAGCUGGGGGAGCAAACCGGAUUAGAUACCCGGGUAGUCCCAGCUGUAAACUAUGCAAACUCAGUGAUGCAUUGGCUUGUGGCCAAUGCAGUGCUGCAGGGAAGCCGUUAAGUUUGCCGCCUGGGAAGUACGUACGCAAGUAUGAAACUUAAAGGAAUUGGCGGGGGAGCAC
rnacentral:rRNA from 1 species